ensembl:lncRNA
CUGCAGGCCGGGGCCGCGGGGCGGGAACUGACUGUGGACAAACGUCAGUCCGAGUCACGGAGUUUCUAAUGUUAAAGGGAAGCAGAGUGAAAGUUUAGCAAGUGCAGUGAGACGUAGAGGAAUGAAGGGGAGGCAGGCGGGUCCAAGAAGAGAUUACGUGAGGCACAGCUGUUCGCUUCCUUUUCAGGAGAAGCGGUGAUGUUUCCUCAGUGAUUUGCCUCUAGUCAGAUAAACACAGCUGGUGGUAAGAGAUUCAUGAGGCCGGGCAGAGCUACACAUCUGCCCGAAAGAGGAAGGCAAGUACUGUACAAGCUAUGGUGCUCAUCUCAAGGAUUUUAUUUCUCAAGCUGAGACAGCAUAAAGACACACUGAAGAUAAAUCAUGGACCAUAUAACAAGAACAGGUGAAGACAUGCUGAUAUGAAAAUAACACAGAAGACUGGAACUCAAUGAAUGGUGGUACUAUAAAAUCAUUAUAGUACUUUAAGAGCAUUUCCAGACAUACUGAUUCACCAGAACCUGAACUGUGUGCAGUUCUGGGUGCCACAAUGUAAGAAAGAUUUAAAACUACUGGAGAGCAUCCCAAGAAGGGCAACAAAGGUGCUGAAGGAUGUAGAGGGCAAGACAUACGAGGGGCAGCUGAUGCUCCUGGUCUGUUCAGCCCAGAGGACGGGAGGCUGAUCUCAAAUGUCCUGCGAUAACACAGCAUCAUCACCAGCUUCAGAGUGUGAUGAGACUCCUGAGUGUCAUUGGCUGACUUUGUCCAUGAGAAAGCUGAAUAAAUAAUUUGGGCCUGUCCAGUCCCAUUCUUUCCUGUUUCUUUUAUAUGUUUUCUCUACACUAUUGUUUUAUAACCUUGAAAUUUGCAGUAAUCUUUCAGAAAGCCCUAACAUAUACUGCAUGUUUUGUAUGAAAUUUGUCUAGCUUUUUCUAGUUACAAUAGUUGCUUGUUCUGUUGCCAAGAAAAUAGCAUCAUCAGCUACUUGGACUAUACAAAAUAUUACAGAAUAAAAUCAGCAACAGAAGUACACUGUUAUUUUUUCAUCCUUAUAUCCUGCCUUGUGACAGGAAUCCUUCACUCUUCUAAGUUCAUUGGUUAACAGUAAACAAAGCUGCUUUCAACAAUUGUCUUAUUGUAGCCUCUGCGUAGCAGAGUACAGUGAUCAUAACAAUAUUUAAGAACUGGUUGGCUAUUACUUAAUUGACUGUGUUUUAUUAAUAUCGUCAGAGAAAAAUGUUCACUGCAAGAGAUAUGGGGACAUGGCAGAGAUUUUGGAAGUGACGAGAGAGUUUAC